CACCACAAUACACUAUUAAAAAGUAAGUUUUCCGAGAACUAGUCAUUGAGUUCAGUGUCACAAGAUUUUAAAUAAACAUUCUAAACUCAACUGUGGCAUAGUGGUUCACGCCUGUAAUCCCAGCACUUUGGGAGGCCAAGAUGGGAGGAUUGCUUGAGCCAGAGGUUCGAGACCAGCCUGGGUAAGAUGGUAAGGCCCUAUCUCUACAAAAAAAAUAUAUAAAUUAGCCAGGUAUGGUGAUGAGAGCCUGUGGUCCCAGUUCCAUGGGAGGCUGAGGUGGGAGGACCACUUGAGGCUAGGAGGUCAAGGCUGCAUUGAGCCAUAUUCACGCUGCUGGGCUCCAGCCUGGGUGACAGAGUGAGACCUCAUCUCAAAAAAUAAAGAAAGAAGAUAAUUUCACCUAUUGCUUAACAUAGAAAAUGGGAGCCCUCAGAAUGAGACUCCCUUAACUUCCCCAAGAAACUUAACCAUCCUUUUUUACUCUUACAGUUGUGAAUGUCCUCCAGUAAAGACCACAUGAAACACUUUGUAGUUAAGCAAGUUGGGUUUAUUACUUGUUGCAAGGAGGGAAGACUCACACCAUGAGGAGCCUAUCAGUAAGAGGAUGUUAGACCUUUAGGAUCUGGGCUUUGGCUGGGUGAUUUGGGGGAGGGUCCAGGGGUUUGCUCUGGAUCGAGUGCUGAUAGGAGGUAGGAAAAUUCUAUCAUCCGGUAGCGGUAUCUUUUCUAGAAAGAGGUUUGGCUGGAGUAGGGCUAAAGCUACAAUGUGUAAAGAAGCCACAGUCACUCCUAUCAGCUGGGAGAAGGGAAUGUCUGGUAUUCUGUGGGUGGCACAGUGACCUUGCUUUUGUCCUUACACAGAAUGAUGACGUGGUCUCGUGUCAUCUCCUAUCAUCACCACUGCAGAGUGUCCUUGUGUGAGUGGUCUGCAUGAUUGUUUAUGUCCAAUAGGAGAACAACAUGGCCUUGUUGUGGGCACCAGCCAGCUUCCAAAAACAUACGGCCUGGCUCACAGCACCAGGCAAGCUCCUAGAAGUCAGUUUUGCUUUUCUGUUUUUCACAGUGGAGGAGGUGAGCCUUAAAGAGAUCGAUAAGGGUUUGCCCGGCAGAAGAAAACAGCGUGAGCAGAGGCAUGGAGUCUGCAGUAGAACUGCAUGUUAGGUGAACCUGAUAUAGGGUCAGGAGGGGUAGCAGGAGAGAUUUCUGGACAGGCUUUCACACAGUGAAUCGUGGAAGCUCCCCCAAAUCACCCAGCCAAAGCCCAAAUUAUAAAGAUCUAACAUCCUCUUACUGAUAUGCUCCUCAUGGUGUGAGUCUUCCCU
rnacentral:lncRNA from 10 species